rnacentral:rRNA from 1 species
GGGUUGUGAGGUUAAGCGACUAAGCGUACACGGUGGAUGCCCUGGCAGUCAGAGGCGAUGAAGGACGUGCUAAUCUGCGAAAAGCGUCGGUAAGGUGAUAUGAACCGUUAUAACCGGCGAUGUCCGAAUGGGGAAACCCAGUGUGAUUCGUCACACUAUCGUUAACUGAAUACAUAGGUUAACGAGGCGAACCGGGGGAACUGAAACAUCUAAGUACCCCGAGGAAAAGAAAUCAACCGAGAUUCCCCCAGUAGCGGCGAGCGAACGGGGAGCAGCCCAGAGUCUGAAUCAGCUUGUGUGUUAGUGGAACGGUCUGGAAAGUCCGACGGUACAGGGUGAUAGUCCCGUACACCAAAAUGCACAGGUUGUGAACUCGAAGAGUAGGGCGGGACACGUGGUAUCCUGUCUGAAUAUGGGGGGACCAUCCUCCAAGGCUAAAUACUCCUGACUGACCGAUAGUGAACCAGUACCGUGAGGGAAAGGCGAAAAGAACCCCGGCGAGGGGAGUGAAAAAGAACCUGAAACCGUGUACGUACAAGCAGUGGGAGCACCUUUAUGGUGUGACUGCGUACCUUUUGUAUAAUGGGUCAGCGACUUAUAUUCUGUAGCAAGGUUAACCGUAUAGGGGAGCCGCAGGGAAACCGAGUCUUAACUGGGCGUUAAGUUGCAGGGUAUAGACCCGAAACCCGGUGAUCUAGCCAUGGGCAGGUUGAAGGUUGGGUAACACUAACUGGAGGACCGAACCGACUAAUGUUGAAAAAUUAGCGGAUGACUUGUGGCUGGGGGUGAAAGGCCAAUCAAACCGGGAGAUAGCUGGUUCUCCCCGAAAGCUAUUUAGGUAGCGCCUCGUGAACUCAUCUUCGGGGGUAGAGCACUGUUUCGGCUAGGGGGUCAUCCCGACUUACCAACCCGAUGCAAACUACGAAUACCGAAGAAUGUUAUCACGGGAGACACACGGCGGGUGCUAACGUCCGUCGUGAAGAGGGAAACAACCCAGACCGCCAGCUAAGGUCCCAAAGUCAUGGUUAAGUGGGAAACGAUGUGGGAAGGCACAGACAGCCAGGAUGUUGGCUUAGAAGCAGCCAUCAUUUAAAGAAAGCGUAAUAGCUCACUGGUCGAGUCGGCCUGCGCGGAAGAUGUAACGGGGCUAAACCAUGCACCGAAGCUGCGGCAGCGACACUAUGUGUUGUUGGGUAGGGGAGCGUUCUGUAAGCCUGCGAAGGUGGCCUGUGAGGGUUGCUGGAGGUAUCAGAAGUGCGAAUGCUGACAUAAGUAACGAUAAAGCGGGUGAAAAGCCCGCUCGCCGGAAGACCAAGGGUUCCUGUCCAACGUUAAUCGGGGCAGGGUGAGUCGACCCCUAAGGCGAGGCCGAAAGGCGUAGUCGAUGGGAAACAGGUUAAUAUUCCUGUACUUGGUGUUACUGCGAAGGGGGGACGGAGAAGGCUAUGUUAGCCGGGCGACGGUUGUCCCGGUUUAAGCAUGUAGGCUGAUUAUCCAGGCAAAUCCGGAUAAUCAAGGCUGAGGUGUGAUGACGAGGCACUACGGUGCUGAAGUAACAAAUGCCCUGCUUCCAGGAAAAGCCUCUAAGCAUCAGGUAACAUCAAAUCGUACCCCAAACCGACACAGGUGGUCAGGUAGAGAAUACCAAGGCGCUUGAGAGAACUCGGGUGAAGGAACUAGGCAAAAUGGUGCCGUAACUUCGGGAGAAGGCACGCUGGUGUGUAGGUGAAGUCCCUGCGGAUGGAGCUGAGACCAGUCGAAGAUACCAGCUGGCUGCAACUGUUUAUUAAAAACACAGCACUGUGCAAACACGAAAGUGGACGUAUACGGUGUGACGCCUGCCCGGUGCCGGAAGGUUAAUUGAUGGGGUUAUCCGUAAGGAGAAGCUCUUGAUCGAAGCCCCGGUAAACGGCGGCCGUAACUAUAACGGUCCUAAGGUAGCGAAAUUCCUUGUCGGGUAAGUUCCGACCUGCACGAAUGGCGUAAUGAUGGCCAGGCUGUCUCCACCCGAGACUCAGUGAAAUUGAACUCGCUGUGAAGAUGCAGUGUACCCGCGGCAAGACGGAAAGACCCCGUGAACCUUUACUAUAGCUUGACACUGAACAUUGAGCCUUGAUGUGUAGGAUAGGUGGGAGGCUUUGAAGCGUGGACGCCAGUCUGCGUGGAGCCAACCUUGAAAUACCACCCUUUAAUGUUUGAUGUUCUAACGUUGGCCCCUAAUCGGGGUUGCGGACAGUGUCUGGUGGGUAGUUUGACUGGGGCGGUCUCCUCCCAAAGCGUAACGGAGGAGCACGAAGGUUAGCUAAUCCUGGUCGGACAUCAGGAGGUUAGUGCAAUGGCAUAAGCUAGCUUGACUGCGAGCGUGACGGCGCGAGCAGGUGCGAAAGCAGGUCAUAGUGAUCCGGUGGUUCUGAAUGGAAGGGCCAUCGCUCAACGGAUAAAAGGUACUCCGGGGAUAACAGGCUGAUACCGCCCAAGAGUUCAUAUCGACGGCGGUGUUUGGCACCUCGAUGUCGGCUCAUCACAUCCUGGGGCUGAAGUAGGUCCCAAGGGUAUGGCUGUUCGCCAUUUAAAGUGGUACGCGAGCUGGGUUUAGAACGUCGUGAGACAGUUCGGUCCCUAUCUGCCGUGGGCGCUGGAGAAUUGAGGGGGGCUGCUCCUAGUACGAGAGGACCGGAGUGGACGCAUCACUGGUGUUCGGGUUGUCAUGCCAAUGGCACUGCCCGGUAGCUAAAUGCGGAAGAGAUAAGUGCUGAAAGCAUCUAAGCACGAAACUUGCCCCGAGAUGAGUUCUCCCUGAGACUAUAAGUCUCCUGAAGGAACGUUAAAGACGAUGACGUUGAUAGGCCGGGUGUGUAAGCGCAGCGAUGCGUUGAGCUAACCGGUACUAAUGAACCGUGAGGCUUAACCUUACAACGCCGAAG